rnacentral:misc_RNA from 1 species
GAUGAAGAACGUAGCGAAAUGCGAUAAGUAAUGUGAAUUGCAGAAUUCAGUGAAUCAUCGAAUCUUUGAACGCACAUUGCGCCCGCCAGUAUUCUGGCGGGCAUGCCUGUUCGAGCGUCAUUUCAACCAUCAAGCCCCAGGCUUGUGUUGGGGACCUGCGGCUGCCGCAGGCCCUGAAAAUCAGUGGCGGGCUCGCUAGUCACUCCGAGCGUAGUAAUACAUCUCGCUCUGGACGUGCUUCGUGCUCCGGCCGCUAAACACCUUAUUUACCCAAGGUUGACCUCGGAUCAGGUAGGAAGACCCGCUGAACUUAAGCAUAUCAAUAAGCGGAGGA